rnacentral:ncRNA from 1 species
UUAAGGUAAUUGAUUAGAGGGCGUCCAGUCUGGCAACGGGCUGGAGUAUGACUGGGUGAAUUGCUGGAACUUCCUAAAGCUUCAUCGACCACAACGUAACUGGAAACGGUAAGCGUGACGGUAUGAAAACGAUGAAGAUGAUACAAUGGAUAAUCAGCAGCCAAGCUCCUGUCCCGAAAGGGUGGAGAAGGUUCAACGACUAGAGAAUACGGUCUAAGGCAAUUGCUAUGACUAUGAAUCUCGUAGGGCAGCGCAAGCUGUUCGAAGUGCCCGGCUCCUUAACUAUUUUAAGGAUGAAGAUAUAGUCUAUUCUGUCACCGAAAGGUACAG